CCCCUCUCAGGGUGGCACCUGGAGAGUUUCCAGUAGUUUAUCAGUCUCGACUACGGGAGGGAGAGUCAAGCAGAGGCCUGUCCAUUCCAUUCCUAGCUGGGGCAGUGGCUAGCGAGUGGAAGGCAAUCUGCUACAAGU